CACAGUAUGGCUCAGUGGUUUCAGCAUUGGACUGUGGAUCUAGAGACAAGGGUUCAAAUCCCCACCCAGCCA